GUGGUGGCGGGUGAUUUCAACCUUAUCAGACAGGAAGCAGACAAAAGCUCGCAUAACAUCGAUCGGCGGCGUAUGCGCAUGUUCAAUGAUGCUAUAAUAGAGAUGUCCCUACGUGAGAUAGCCCGGGUAGGGGCUAGGUUCACAUGGACCAAUAAUCAGGUGGACCCUAUCCGGAGUGUGCUGGAUCGGGUCCUC
rnacentral:rRNA from 1 species